AAGGUAGCUUUACUGGAAAGUGUAACUUGAUUACCUUCUCUUUAAGGUGAAGACGAAUUAAAACCAAUUUUAUUGACUUUUUUGUAUUUUUAUUUUGAUUAAAAAGUUUUUAUAUUAUUAAAUAUGUAUCUUAAAUCCAAUACAGCGGCAAUUGAGUAUUUUUAAAAUUGAGAUUAUGUUGUAAUACAUUAUAAAUAUGCUUUAAUAUAUAAAUCGACCUAAUGUUUUUUUA
rnacentral:misc_RNA from 1 species